ACUGAAGGAAGCAGCGUGUCUUUAUGCUUGUUUGAAAAGACUGGGCAACCCGCAGAGCUUCCUUCGUGAUUGGGAUAGGGGCGUGCAACUGUUCCUCUUGAAA
rnacentral:rRNA from 1 species